rnacentral:rRNA from 1 species
UCCUUAGAUGUUCUGGGCUGCACGCGCGCUACACUGAUGCGCUCAACGAGUUUAUGACCUUGCCCGGAAGGGUUGGGUAAUCUUCUUAAAACGCAUCGUGAUGGGGAUAGAUUAUUGCAAUUAUUAAUCUUCAACGAGGAAUUCCUAGUAAGCGCGAGUCAUCAGCUCGUGCUGAUUACGUCCCUGCCCUUUGUACACACCGCCCGUCGCUCCUACCGAUUGAGUGGUCCGGUGAGGCUUUGGGAUCUGAGCGGAAAGAGCGUUUCGCUGUUUCUGCUCGGAAAACUCAGUCGAACCUUAUCAUUUAGAGGAAGGAGAAGUCGUAACA